rnacentral:rRNA from 1 species
UCACCCAAGACAACUUUGCGGAGUUGACGAUUGACGGAGCGAAGCGACGUCAAAGCGUUCAUUAAAGUCGAGUUGGCUUAGGGAUACGUUCGUUGGGUAGGGGAGCGUUCUGUAAGCCUGUGAAGGUAUGCUGUGAGGCAUGCUGGAGGUAUCAGAAGUGCGAAUGCUGACAUAAGUAACGAUAAAGCGGGUGAAAAGCCCGCUCGCCGGAAGACCAAGGGUUCCUGUCCAACGUUAAUCGGGGCAGGGUGAGUC